rnacentral:rRNA from 1 species
UUGAACGCUGGCGGCAGGCCUAACACAUGCAAGUCGAACGGUAACAGGAAACAGCUUGCUGUUUCGCUGACGAGUGGCGGACGGGUGAGUAAUGUCUGGGAAACUGCCUGAUGGAGGGGGAUAACUACUGGAAACGGUAGCUAAUACCGCAUAACGUCGCAAGACCAAAGAGGGGGACCUUCGGGCCUCUUGCCAUCGGAUGUGCCCAGAUGGGAUUAGCUUGUUGGUGGGGUAACGGCUCACCAAGGCGACGAUCCCUAGCUGGUCUGAGAGGAUGACCAGCCACACUGGAACUGAGACACGGUCCAGACUCCUACGGGAGGCAGCAGUGGGGAAUAUUGCACAAUGGGCGCAAGCCUGAUGCAGCCAUGCCGCGUGUAUGAAGAAGGCCUUCGGGUUGUAAAGUACUUUCAGCGGGGAGGAAGGGAGUAAAGUUAAUACCUUUGCUCAUUGACGUUACCCGCAGAAGAAGCACCGGCUAACUCCGUGCCAGCAGCCGCGGUAAUACGGAGGGUGCAAGCGUUAAUCGGAAUUACUGGGCGUAAAGCGCACGCAGGCGGUUUGUUAAGUCAGAUGUGAAAUCCCCGGGCUCAACCUGGGAACUGCAUCUGAUACUGGCAAGCUUGAGUCUCGUAGAGGGGGGUAGAAUUCCAGGUGUAGCGGUGAAAUGCGUAGAGAUCUGGAGGAAUACCGGUGGCGAAGGCGGCCCCCUGGACGAAGACUGACGCUCAGGUGCGAAAGCGUGGGGAGCAAACAGGAUUAGAUACCCUGGUAGUCCACGCCGUAAACGAUGUCGACUUGGAGGUUGUGCCCUUGAGGCGUGGCUUCCGGAGCUAACGCGUUAAGUCGACCGCCUGGGGAGUACGGCCGCAAGGUUAAAACUCAAAUGAAUUGACGGGGGCCCGCACAAGCGGUGGAGCAUGUGGUUUAAUUCGAUGCAACGCGAAGAACCUUACAUGGUCUUGACAUCCACGGAAGUUUUCAGAGAUGAGAAUGUGCCUUCGGGAACCGUGAGACAGGUGCUGCAUGGCUGUCGUCAGCUCGUGUUGUGAAAUGUUGGGUUAAGUCCCGCAACGAGCGCAACCCUUAUCCUUUGUUGCCAGCGGUCCGGCCGGGAACUCAAAGGAGACUGCCAGUGAUAAACUGGAGGAAGGUGGGGAUGACGUCAAGUCAUCAUGGCCCUUACGACCAGGGCUACACACGUGCUACAAUGGCGCAUACAAAGAGAAGCGACCUCGCGAGAGCAAGCGGACCUCAUAAAGUGCGUCGUAGUCCGGAUUGGAGUCUGCAACUCGACUCCAUGAAGUCGGAAUCGCUAGUAAUCGUGGAUCAGAAUGCCACGGUGAAUACGUUCCCGGGCCUUGUACACACCGCCCGUCACACCAUGGGAGUGGGUUGCAAAAGAAGUAGGUAGCUUAACCUUCGGGAGGGCGCUUACCACUUUGUGAUUCAUGACUGGGGUG